CAGCCGCCGCGGUAAUACGGAGGGAGCUAGCGUUGUUCGGGAUUACUGGGCGUAAAGCGCGCGUAGGCGGUUACUCAAGUCAGAGGUGAAAGCCCGGGGCUCAACCCCGGAACUGCCUUUGAAGCUAGGUAACUAGAAUCUUGGAGAGGUAAGUGGAAUUCCGAGUGUAGAGGUGAAAUUCGUAGAUAUUCGGAAGAACGCCAGUGGCGAAGGCGGCUUACUGGCUCAUUCUAGACGGUGAGGGGCGAAGGCUAGGGGAGCAAACAGGAUUAGAGACCCGCGUAGUCCCUGUCUCUUAUAC
rnacentral:rRNA from 1 species